rnacentral:lncRNA from 10 species
GCCUUCUCUGCCCCUACCCCGAAGAUAAUACUCAUUCUCCGGGCAGCAGACAAAAGACUUGGAGACAUACACAGCUGAAGGAAAUGAAAAGGCAACAAGGCUAAGAGAACAAAGAUGAGCAUUGCCACGGUCCGGAGGAUGGUGGUGGAGGAAGCCUUCUCUACGCUGGUGCCUCUAUUGGAACUUUCAGGAAAUGAACAUGUGUGUUUUGUGUUUUUCCCUUUACACCUCAAGAAACUUGGAACAAUGAUUUUCUUUUAUGGAGAAGCUUACAUUUAAGCAGAUUAAAAAUUAGCCCCAAGAAUAGAAAUACAGAAUCAAAGUCCACAAAUUUAAUUAUUGUUUCCCCUGGUUAGCUGAUCUUCAAUUCUGAUAUCUUCCUCUCUCUGGUGUAGGGGAGUAAGGGUUAUACCCAUUUUGAAAUUCGUUGUUGUAUUACGACUACUAAUACACAGGGAAAGUUUCUAUGCAUUCAUUUAUUCAUCAAUAGAUAUUUAUUAGGACUCACUGUUUAUGGAACUGCCCAAGAUAUUGUGGGAGAUACAAGGGAGAAGAAAACAUCAACCCUGUUCUCAGAGUGUUUAAAGUCUACCAGGACUUCAAACGUGUCCAUUGCACACGUAAGCAUAAUAAAAGUUAAAAGGAGGUAUGCUAUAAAAUGGAUCAAAAUCAAAGGCUUUAAGAAGAGGAAAGGCAUUCCUUCUAGCUUUGGUCAGAUUUGGUCCACAAUCAAAUCAAAUUCUUAUUAAGUUCAUAUUCUCUUACUGACAAACUAAACUGCUGCAAAAAAUAAUCCUCCCCCAUGGGAGAUCUUACAGACAUACCCUAAUUGCCCUAGCUAAGUUUAGAAUGUAGCUCUGAAAAGAAUGACAAAAGACCUUGAAGAGGCAAGCAAGAGAUUUUGAAAUAUCUGGUCUAUAAGGGUAAAAGACUGUAUGAUACCAAAGCCUCAGGGUACCCAGCUGGGGUCAAUCUAUAUUAAUUGCUAACACCUAGAGGUAAUUAGCAGUAAUUACCCAAAGGAGUGAUGGGAUGGCCAGACGGACUUAAAGGCAGCAAUUCCAGGAGCUCCUACCAUGUUGGGAACCUAACAGCUUCUAGGUAACAAGAAAUAAAUUAGGUUUCCCCAGCAAUUUAUGUAGAUAGUUUUAAGAUUGUAUUACAAAGGACCCCGUGGGGCAAGCUUUUAUAAAUAUAUUACUAAAACUCGUAGCCCUUGCUACCCAGAGGUGAAGUUUAUUUUCUCACCCUUUGAGUCUGAGCUGAUCUUACCACUUGCUUUAACCGAUGAAUAUGGGGAAAGAGAAAUUGUGCAACUUUUGCUAGUAAGUCUUACAAGACCUGCAGCUUCCAGCUUCACCUUCUAGGAACAUUGCCCUGAGAUCAUCUUGUGAGGCAGCUGGUCUAGCCUCCUGGAGGAGAAGCAGUUUUGUGGAGAAGAUUCCAGGCAUCCCUGCCAACAAGCACCAACUCCAGAUAUAUGAGGAAGAGUAGUUUACAACUGACACUGUUUGGAAUUGCUGGCACAUGGUGAUAAUCAAAGGUCUGAUGCUUCAGAGAAACCUCUUGAAACUGAAAAGGAAGAAAGACCUAGAUGAGGACAUAAAUACAACUUUGGCAUUAAUUUUUUCCACUAUAUUUCAUAAACUGAGCAUUGAGAAUCUCUGAAUUUUCUAUGAAUGUUCCCCAAUUAACCCCACUCAUCAUAUGUUCCUAGAGGCUAUAGAAAUUGUUUCCUAGAUGUUGAAAAUUUAUUAUAAAAAUUCUUAAGAGGCUGAGAGAUUUCUGGAUUUAAACAACCCCUAAAAUUUAAACUCUUUUGGGAAAAACCCCUGAUGCCAGGAGCUAACUCUUAAUGAGGUAUUAGUGAUGUUUGUUUACCAUAACCUAGGCUAUGAAGAGAGAGGAUGCUGCCUUCUUCCUCAGCCUGUCUCUUUUACUUAAGGCUCUUAAUGUAGACAUCUAUUUCUGUUGAUCCUUUUUGAUGAUUGCUUCCUGCUUCUUAACAUGCUGCCAAAUCUUCUCUCCCUACACUCUAAUAAAGACUUAAGAGCAUGGAUUUUAAUAUGCUUGUUUACUUGUUUUACUAAAAAUAGAAUUCCUGGUAUUCAAAAUCCUAUUGUUUUACUUAUGUAACUGUGUCUUCUAUUAUCUUUUGUUUAUUAGUUCUUGGGAUUAGUUUAGAUUAUAU